CUCUACGGCCAUGCCACUCUGAACAUGCCACCAAGCCCGAUAUCUGAUCUCGGAAGCUAAGCAGGAUCGAGCCUGGUUAGUACUUGGAUGGGAGACCACGUAGGAAGACCAGAUGCCGUAGGCA
ensembl:rRNA 5S_rRNA 5S ribosomal RNA